GCAAAUUAUGAGUGUUGGAGUGUUCCCCUGGCUACCUGUAAUGAUGUCUGAGUGUUGGAGUGUUCCCCUGACUAUCUGUAAUGAUGUCUGAGUGAUGGAGUGUUCCCCUGACUAUCUGUAAUGAUGUCUGAGUGAUGGAGUGUUCCCCUGACUAUCUGUAAUGAUGUCUGAGUGAUGGAGUGUUCCCCUGACUAUCUGUAAUGAUGUCUGAGUGAUGGAGUGUUCCCCUGACUAUCUGUAAUGAUGUCUGAGUGAUGGAGUGUUCCCCUGACUAUCUGUAAUGAUGUCUGAGUGUUGAGUUGUUCCCCUGGCUAUCUGUAAUGAUGUCUGAGUUGUUCCCUGGCUAUCUGUAAUGAUAUCUGAGUGUUGGAGUGUUCCCCUGGCUAUCUGUAAUGAUGUCUGAGUGUUGGAGUGUUCCCCUGGCUAUCUGUAAAUGAUGUCUGAGUGUUGGAGUGUUCCCCUGGCUGUCUGUAAAUGAUGUCUGAGUGUUGGAGUGUUCCCCUGGCUAUCUGUAAAUGAUGUCUGAGUGUUGGAGUGUUCCCCUGGCUAUCUGUAAAUGAUGUCUGAGUGUUGGAGUGUUCCCCUGGCUAUCUGUAAAUGAUGUCUGAGUGUUGGAGUGUUCCCCUGGCUGUCUGUAAAUUAUGUCUGAGUGUUGGAGUGUUCCCCUGGCUAUCUGUAAAUGAUGUCUGAGUGUUGGAGUGUUCCCCUGGCUGUCUGUAAAUGAUGUCUGAGUGUUGGAGUGUUCCCCUGGCUAUCUGUAAAUGAUGUCUGAGUGUUGGAGUGUUCCCCUGGC
ensembl:lncRNA